rnacentral:rRNA from 1 species
GACGAACGCUGGCGGCGUGCUUAACACAUGCAAGUCGAACGAAGGGCUAUGGAAGCUUGCUUCUAUCAAUCUUAGUGGCGAACGGGUGAGUAACGCGUAAUCAACCUGCCCUUCAGAGGGGGACAACAGUUGGAAACGACUGCUAAUACCGCAUACGAUCUAAUCUCGGCAUCGAGGAUAGAUGAAAGGUGGCCUCUACAUGUAAGCUAUCACUGAAGGAGGGGAUUGCGUCUGAUUAGCUAGUUGGAGGGGUAACGGCCCACCAAGGCGAUGAUCAGUAGCCGGUCUGAGAGGAUGAACGGCCACAUUGGGACUGAGACACGGCCCAGACUCCUACGGGAGGCAGCAGUGGGGAAUCUUCCGCAAUGGACGAAAGUCUGACGGAGCAACGCCGCGUGAGUGAUGACGGCCUUCGGGUUGUAAAGCUCUGUUAAUCGGGACGAAAGGCCUUCUUGCGAAUAGUGAGAAGGAUUGACGGUACCGGAAUAGAAAGCCACGGCUAACUACGUG